rnacentral:rRNA from 1 species
GAAUUUUGGACAAUGGGCGCAAGCCUGAUCCAGCCAUUCCGCGUGAGUGAAGAAGGCCUUCGGGUUGUAAAGCUCUUUCGCAAGGGAAGAAAGAUUGCUCUCUAAUAUAGAGUGAUUAUGACGGUACCUUGAUAAGAAGCACCGGCUAACUACGUGCCAGCAGCCGCGGUAAUACGUAGGGUGCGAGCGUUAAUCGGAAUUACUGGGCGUAAAGCGUGCGCAGGCUGUUUUGUAAGUCAGAUGUGAAAUCCCUGAGCUCAACUUAGGAACUGCGUUUGAAACUACAAGACUAGAAUAUGUCAGAGGGGGGUAGAAUUCCACGUGUAGCAGUGAAAUGCGUAGAGAUGUGGAGGAAUACCAAUGGCGAAGGCAGCCCCCUGGGAUAAUAUUGACGCUCAUGCACGAAAGCGUGGGGAGCAAACAGGAUUAGAUACCCGUG